GGCACGAUGACCGAGUGGCCUAAGGUGUUUGACUCGAACUUACCAUUCGAGGUUUAUCAAAUCUCUUCGGAGGCGCAAGUUCGAAUCUUGUUCGUGUCG